GUGAAUCAUCAAAUUUUUGAACGCAAAUUGCACUCUCUGGCAUUCCGGAGAGUAUGCCUGUUUGAGGGUCAGUUUAAAUAAAAAUGGGGGGUUUGCGGUUUGUUGACCCUUCGAAUUGGGGUAAUCUUUAACUUUUUAAAAGGUUAAGGUAACUAAAAAUGAUUACUUUUUCAAUUCAGACGGUC
rnacentral:misc_RNA from 1 species